CCAYCCGUAGCUCAGCUGGAUAGAGCGAUGCCCUCCGGAGGCAUAGGUCAGAGGUUCGAAUCCUCUCGGGUGGGCCA
rnacentral:tRNA from 1 species